GUUUCUGCCUGAGCAAAAGAGGGGUGGGUGGCUGGCCCAGAAACAGCAACAGGUAAGGGACUGGAGUGCCCAAGCUGUAAAUGCAGGAAAGGAGCCAGGCUGCCCACACUGAAGGUGGAUUCUGUGCACCUCCAGGAGAGUGAGAAACAGGAAGAGAGGGAACUCUUUCAAGCAUCAAGCCCCAAUCUGGAGCAAGAAGAAUGCAUUUCAACUAAAUACACUGCCCUCAAGGGUUGGAAUUCAGUCUCUCUCCUACAAAUAGCUCUGUUUACAACUGUUUGGUCUCCACUAGUUUCACGCUCUAGGGCUGCACUUUCAUAAAGAACUGUUCUGAUGCAUUUUUUCCAACUGCUCUAUCUUGACAUAUGAUGGAUUAAAAUGACUAAAUACGCAACAGCUUGGUGCCUUCCCCUCCUCUCCAACUGGUUGGUAUUCCCAUUAUGUUUACCUUAUCCUCCCAUCAUUAAGAC